AAGUCCCCUUCGGGGGACAAGUAGAGUGGCGCACGGGUGAGUAACACGUAGGUAAUCUACCUCUGGGUGGGGAAUAACGACCGGAAACGGUCGCUAAUACCGCAUAAUGCAGCGGCACCACAUGGUGACAGUUGUUAAGGCGGGGGAUCGUAAGACCUCGCGCCUAGAGAUGAGCCUGCGGCGGAUUAGCUAGUUGGCAGGGUAACGGCCUACCAAGGCGACGAUCCGUAGCCGGCCUGAGAGGGCGGACGGCCACACUGGCACUGACAUACGGGCCAGACUCCUACGGGAGGCAGCAGUCGGGAAUUUUGGGCAAUGGGCGAAAGCCUGACCCAGCAACGCCGCGUGAAGGAUGAAGCUUUUCGGAGUGUAAACUUCAUAAGAAUGGGACGAAUAAGGAGGGGUUAACACCCCCUUUGAUGACGGUACCAUUUGUAAGCUCCGGCUAACUCCGUGCCAGCAGCCGCGGUAAUACGGGGGGAGCAAGCGUUGUUCGGAUUUACUGGGCGUAAAGGGCGCGUAGGCGGCGCAACAAGUCACUUGUGAAAUCUCCGGGCUUAACCCGGAGCGGCCAAGUGAUACUGUCGUGCUAGAGUGCGGAAGGGGCUACUGGAAUUCUCGGUGUAGCGGUGAAAUGCGUAGAUAUCGAGAGGAACACCUGCGGCGAAGGCGGGUAGCUGGGCCGACACUGACGCUGAGGCGCGAAAGCCAGGGGAGCGAACGGGAUUAGAUACCCCGGUAGUCCUGGCUUAAA
rnacentral:rRNA from 1 species